rnacentral:rRNA from 1 species
AGAUUGAACGCUGGCGGAAUGCCUUACACAUGCAAGUCGAACGGCAGCACGGGAGCAAUCCUGGUGGCGAGUGGCGAACGGGUGAGUAAUACAUCGGAACGUGCCCAAUCGUGGGGGAUAACGUAGCGAAAGCUACGCUAAUACCGCAUACGAUCUACGGAUGAAAGCAGGGGAUCGCAAGACCUUGCGCGAAUGGAGCGGCCGAUGGCAGAUUUAGGGUAGUUGGUGGGGUUAAAAGGCGUCACCAAAGCCUUUCGAUCUGUAGCUGGUCUGAGAGGACGACCAGCCACACGUGGACUGAGACACGGCCCAGACUCCGUACGGGAGGCAGCAGUGGGGAAUUUUGGACAAUGGGCGCAAGCCUGAUCAGCCAUUCCGCGUGCAGAUGAGCC